UAGGGAAUCUUCCGCAAUGGACGCAAGUCUGACGGAGCAACGCCGCGUGAGUGAAGAAGGAUUUCGGUUCGUAAAACUCUGUUGUUAGAGAAGAACAGCGCAUAGAGUAACUGUUAUGCGUGUGACGGUAUCUAACCAGAAAGCCACGGCUAACUACGUGCCAGCAGCCGCGGUAAUACGUAGGUGGCAAGCGUUGUCCGGAUUUAUUGGGCGUAAAGCGAGCGCAGGCGGUCAAUUAAGUCUGAUGUGAAAGCCCCCGGCUCAACCGGGGAGGGUCAUUGGAAACUGGUUGACUUGAGUGCAGAAGAGGAGAGUGGAAUUCCAUGUGUAACGGUGAAAUGCGUAGAUAUAUGGAGGAACACCAGUGGCGAAGGCGACUCUCUGGUCUGUAACUGACGCUGAGGCUCGAAAGCGUGGGUAGCAAACAGG
rnacentral:rRNA from 1 species